rnacentral:misc_RNA from 1 species
GAAAUGCGAUAAGUAAUGUGAAUUGCAGAAUUCAGUGAAUCAUCGAAUCUUUGAACGCACCUUGCGCUCCUUGGUAUUCCUUGGAGCAUGCCUGUUUGAGUAACAUGAAAUCUUCAAAGUAAAUCUUUUGUUAACUCAAUUGGUUUCUACUUUGGUAUUGGAGGUCUUUGCAGCUUCACACCUGCUCCUCUUUGUUCAUUAGCUGGAUCUCAGUGUUAUGCUUGGUUCCACUCGGCGUGAUAAGUUAUCUAUCGCUGAGGACACUGUAAAAGGUGGCCAAGGUAAAUGCAGAUGAACCGCUUCUAAUAGUCCAUUGACUUGGACAAUACUUUUAUGAUCUGAUCUCAAAUCAGGUAGGACUACCCGCUGAACUUAAGC